UGAAAGAUUUAUCGCUUAUGGAUGGACUCGCGUCAGAUUAGAUAGUUGGUGAGGUAACGGCUCACCAAGUCAACGAUCUGUAGCCGAACUGAGAGGUUGAUCGGCCGCAUUGGGACUGAGACACGGCCCAGACUCCUACGGGAGGCAGCAGUGGGGAAUAUUGCGCAAUGGGGGCAACCCUGACGCAGCAACGCCGCGUGCAGGAAGAAGGUCUUCGGAUUGUAAACUGUUGUCGCAAGGGAAGAAGACAGUGACGGUACCUUGUGAGAAAGUCACGGCUAACUACGUGCCAGCAGCCGCGGUAAUACGUAGGUGACAAGCGUUGUCCGGAUUUACUGGGUGUAAAGGGCGCGUAGGCGGACUGUCAAGUCAGUCGUGAAAUACCGGGGCUUAACCCCGGGGCUGCGAUUGAAACUGACAGCCUUGAGUAUCGGAGAGGAAAGCGGAAUUCCUAGUGUAGCGGUGAAAUGCGUAGAUAUUAGGAGGAACACCAGUGGCGAAGGCGGCUUUCUGGACGACAACUGACGCUGAGGCGCGAAAGUGUGGGGAGCGAACAGGAUUAGAUACCCUGGUAGUCCACACCGUAAACGAUGGAUACUAGGUGUAGGAGGUAUCGACCCCUUCUGUGCC
rnacentral:rRNA from 1 species